rnacentral:rRNA from 1 species
GGCUCAGGACGAACGCUGGCGGCGUGCUUAAUACAUGCAAGUCAACUUGACUUUAGAUAGCAAUAUCGAAAAGUAGGGUGGCGCACGGGUGCGUAACGCGUAGGUAAUCUGCCCUGAGGUCUGACAUAACCCGUCGAAAGGCGGGCUAACAUCAGAUGAUAUAUAAUCACGACAUCGUGGAAAUAUCAAAUCUUCGGAGCCUUGGGAUGAGCCUGCGUCUGAUUAGGUAGUUGGCGGAGUAAUAGCCCACCAAGCCUACGAUCAGUAGCUGGUCUGAGAGGAUGAUCAGCCACACUGGAACUGAGACACGGUCCAGACUCCUACGGGAGGCAGCAGUAAGGAAUAUUGCUCAAUGGGGGGAAACCCUGAAGCAGCAACGCCGCGUGAAGGAUGAAAUACUUUGUAUGUAAACUUCUGUAAGAUGGGAAAAAUAUUCUCCUCGGGAGAAUUGAUUGUACCAUCAGAGUAAGCCCCGGCUAACUACGUG